GAUUUCACUAAAUUGUACAUACUGCAACUUUAAGUGUACAUUGAAACAUAAAUAAUUUAAAGUAUACUCAUAUGUAACAGUAAAGACAGUAUUUGAAAGAUUAUAUACAGAUGAAUUUGACAUAUAACAGCUGUGAUGGAUAAUGUAAUAAAUAAAUAAAAGUCCAGGUGAGCAGUUUGUCUUCAUUGUCCGAGGAGUUCCCUCUGCCAACACAGAGGAGAGUCAUUGUACAGACUGAUGGCAGCUAGCAGGAAUUACUUCCUGUAGCGUUCUUUGUCACAGUGGAGCUGAAGAAGUCUCUAACGGAAAGUGCUCUGCUGUUUGACCCGCAGGUCACGGAGGGGAUUCGGAAUGUUCUCCAUGACGCUUACUAGUUUGUUUAUCCUCUUCCUCUCCACAACCAGCUCCAGUGUAUACAGAGGCUUCCCCAGCACAGAGCCAGCUUUCAUGAACAGGUUGUUCAGCUUAUUAGUGCACCUGGCUCUCGUGCUGCUGCCCCAGCAGAGAGCACCAAAGAAUAAUGCACUGGCCGCAACAGACUGGUCAAAGAUUUGCAACAUCUUGCAGAACAGGAGCUAAAGGAUCGAAGUUUCCUCAAGAAGCAGAGUCUGCUCUGUCCCUUCCUGUGGACAUCCUCUGUGUUGCAUUUCCAGUCAAGUCUGUUGUCGAGACGGACUCCAAGGGCUGACCCCAGGGACCCAAACCCAAGCCCCCAUCUCACCUCUGGGAAAAACGAGUCACACUGACACGCUCAUAUUGUGCAGCGGGGAGAAGCAGCAGAGGGCUGUGACAGUCGGGCCGAGGAGAUUAGAUUUGGACGAGCAUAAGGAAUAUGAAAAUGACCUUGUCUGAGCCUAAGACAUGCAUCAACGAUUUAUUUUUUUGAGGA